UUCCUCCCACCACUCAGCUCUUCUUGUUCCUUCAAGACUUCUCUCAGAAAAUGCUGUCCAAGACGCACGAGAUAGAGAAGCAGCUGGACAGCUUGAUCCGAGACACCAAGACCACGGAUAGCAGCCUGCAUUCUGUCUUCAACGACUUCCUCAUGCUCUCCAAUACCCAGUUUAUCGAGAAUAGAGUGUAUGAUGAAGAGAUUCAGGAACCCGUGCCCAAGACUGAUGCUGUGGAGAAGCAGGUUGAUCAG